UACAGAGGUCUCAAGCGUUGUUCGGAUUCAUUGGGCGUAAAGGGUGCGUAGGCGGCGGGGUAAGUCGGAUGUGAAAUCCUGGGGCUCAACCUCAGAACUGCAUUCGAUACUGCCCUGCUCGAGUACUGGAGAGGAGACUGGAAUUUACGGUGUAGCAGUGAAAUGCGUAGAUAUCGUAAGGAAGACCAGUGGCGAAGGCGAGUCUCUGGACAGUUACUGACGCUGAGGCACGAAGGCCAGGGGAGCAAACGGG
rnacentral:rRNA from 1 species